rnacentral:rRNA from 1 species
UACGUAGGGUGCGAGCGUUAAUCGGAAUUACUGGGCGUAAAGCGUGCGCAGGCGGUUUUGUAAGCCAGACGUGAAAUCCCCGGGCUUAACCUGGGAAUGGCGUUUGGGACUGCAAGGCUUGAGUGUGGCAGAGGGGACUAGAAUUCCUGGUGUAGCAGUGAAAUGCGUAGAUAUCAGGAGGAAUACCGAUGGCGAAGGCAGGUCCCUGGGUUAACACUGACGCUCAUGCAAGAAAGCGUGGGGAGCAAACAGG